ncrna:Enterococcus faecalis 13-SD-W-01 L31-Firmicutes ribosomal protein leader
CUCUGGUUCAGCAAAUGGGUCAGGGCAAAGGAG